GAUGAACGCUGGCGGCGUGCUUAACACAUGCAAGUCGAACGGAAAGGCCCUGCUUUUGUGGGGUGCUCGAGUGGCGAACGGGUGAGUAACACGUGAGUAACCUGCCCUUGACUUUGGGAUAACUUCAGGAAACUGGGGCUAAUACCGGAUAGGAGCUCCUGCUGCAUGGUGGGGGUUGGAAAGUUUCGGCGGUUGGGGAUGGACUCGCGGCUUAUCAGCUUGUUGGUGGGGUAGUGGCUUACCAAGGCUUUGACGGGUAGCCGGCCUGAGAGGGUGACCGGCCACAUUGGGACUGCGGUACGGCCCAGACUCCUACGGGAGGCAACGGUGGGGAAUAUUGCACAGUGGGCGGAAGCCUGAUGCAGAGGCGCCGCGUGCGGGAUGACCGGUUUCGGGUUGUAAACCGCUUUCGCCUGUGACGAAGCGUGAGUGACGGUAAUGGGUAAAGAAGCACCGGCUAACUACGUG
rnacentral:rRNA from 1 species